ACUUCAUUCUCUCCCUUCUUUCUCUCUGCAAACCCCUUCUUCUCCGAUCGACUUUCACUUCCUUCUAUGUGCAAACCCUAAUCAAACAUAACACAUUUGAAAUAGUAAUAUCUUCUUUCAUUUUCUCCCCUACUACUCUCUGUAAAACCUAGCAGCCGCCACCACUAGAAACAUGGAAAAUCCCCCAAAAUUUUGAAUUACCCCGCUCACUCCUCUCAAUAUCUCUUGCGCUUUCGUAUUUAUAGCCAGAGUUGGAGAGCGAAAAGAAGAAAGAAGAAAGAAAUGAUGUGAGGGUGUGAGGUGGCGUUCAAAGGUUGUCAAGGGGUUGUGAGGAGCUAUAGGGCUCAAGUUCGAGGUUGAAGAUUAGAAACCGAAGGUUGAAGAUCAGAUUUGGGAUUAGAUGAGUCGCUGGUACAACUGACGUCGUCGUGGUGUAGGUCAGAUGAGUCGCCGGAGUCCAGGCCAAGUAACAGUGUCGCUGGAGUUUCGGGAAGCUAACGGUGUCAUCAAUUCGAGUGCAGGUGAUGUGCCGAUUAUUGAUUUUGGAUCAAUUACUAACUGUUUGCCAUUUUCUUUCUAGAAAAUCAAUGUAGUGUCUGCUUCUUAAUCUUGUUCUCUAUGAGUACCAUUGUUACCGUCUCUGGUAAAAACAUCUAACCAUAUGCCAGAUUCGUUGAUUCAGGCUACAAAAGUACCUGUUAAAGAGUAU